UACGUAGGGACCAAGCGUUGUCCGGAAUCAUUGGGCGUAAAGAGCGUGUAGGCGGCUUGUUAAGUCUUGCGUGAAAUCUCGGGGCUCAACCCCGAGCGGUCGUGAGAAACUGGCAGGCUAGAGUGCGGGAGAGGAGAGUGGAAUUCCUGGUGUAGCGGUGAAAUGCGUAGAUAUCGGGAGGAACACCAGUGGCGAAGGCGGCUUUCUGGCCCAUUCUUGACGCUGAGGCGCGAAAGCUAGGGUAGCAAACGGG
rnacentral:rRNA from 1 species